AAAAAAAAAAACAAUCCCACAUAAAUAUUAAUUGUAUUUAAAUUCUCAUCACUGAUUUAUUUGCACUCAAUCUUGUGCAGUCAGCCAAUGUAUUACACAGCUAAUAGAUCUAUUAAAACAGAAAGAAUAAUGAAUAAACUUUUUCUUGAGAAAACACAACUUUGCUACCUCAAUAUGCUUCCUCAGAUUUGACGGUGAAGUUUUGAAGCCAGACGUUACCUGAUGAAAGUCAUAACUGAAGUAGAAAUGUGUGUGCUUGAAGCGUGAAAACAAUGAUCAUUGGUUCUUACAUCAAGCAUGCACGUUUGAGCUUCUGUUUACAAUAUUAAAUGUGCUUUAGAUAAAAUAAAAAUGUUAUGUACUUUUCAAGAUGAAAUAAAAUUGUAAGGAGUAAAAAGUACUGAUUUUUCUUCAGAAAUUUAAUCAAGUAAAAGUACAAGUCAUUUUAAAUUGUACUUGAAUAAAGUACAAAUCCGCCAAAAUAAUACUCAAGUACAGUAAUCAGUAAGUAUUUUACAUAUCUGAUUACAUUAACUCAUUUAACAUGAAUAUUUAAUAACUUCGGCCUAAAUUAUAUAGAUGUUGAAACCCAAGUAGAGUGAAUUAUAUUUAAAUACUAAAUAAUUUUGUUUUCUUGGCAGGUGCAUUCAAAAUUCACCUCGAAUCAAUGUUUGUCCACAAAUUUUAUGAUAAUUACAGGUAAAGAUAAAAGUGCCAAGAAAAUUCUCUUAGUUAUGUUAAGAAUUUCUUAGUUAUAACUGAUAAUAUUCAUCAUAGAAACAAAAUAAAAUACACUCAAACUAAAGAGGAUUUCUCAAUUAUCCACGGAAGCUUCAGACAGCUGCUUUCAAACAUCUCCCUCAUCUUUACAUCCGUAUAUUCAGACAAACAAAGAACAAAAAGUGAAACAUUCAAGAGAAAAUCUGCAGCGAUUUACUGUGGUCAAGUUUUCCACACGAGAGUAACAGAUGUUUAAGGCAUUUCAGUCAUUAACUAGUUGCUCCUGUACUUUAUUAUGCAGCGGUUUAUAAUCUAGAUACCUCAUGUAGAUAAAUCUUCACCUGACCCUGAAAUACACAUGUAGAAAGUGCCGAGAGGAGUGUGUGUGUGUGUGUGUGUUUAUAUGGGACGACAUCAUGAUUCAUAAUCAUCCUCAAACCCCAGCGAUCUGUCUCACUGUGUGCUCCAGCUAAUAAACCCUCAUUAGUGAGUGAUCUGACACGCCCUACACAGGCAGCAGCUUCACGUGACACACAUGCAGUGCUCCAGUUUGAAUUAAGCCAGCGAUUCUCAAACUGUGCACUUUUAAAUUCAUAUAUAUUCAUAUAUAUA
ensembl:lncRNA